GGAAGUAAAUAACAAGGUUUCCGUAGGUGAACCUGCGGAAGGAUCAUUAUUGUAUAACCGAGGUGCGAGGGCUGUCGCUGACCCGAAAGGUCGUGCACGCCCGAGUGCCCUCACACACAUCCAUCUUACCCCUAUGUGCACCACCGCGUGGGUCCCCCUUUGGCUUGUUCGGAGGGGGGCUUACGUUUUCACACAAACUUUGUAUGCAGUGUAGAAUGUAUUUUUUGUUUUUGCGAUCACGCAAUCAAUACAACUUUCAACAACGGAUCUCUUGGCUCUC
rnacentral:misc_RNA from 1 species